rnacentral:rRNA from 1 species
GAUGAACGCUGGCGGCGUGCUUAACACAUGCAAGUCGAACGGAAAGGCCCAAGCUUGCUUGGGUACUCGAGUGGCGAACGGGUGAGUAACACGUGGGUGAUCUGCCCUGCACUUCGGGAUAAGCCUGGGAAACUGGGUCUAAUACCGGAUAGGACCACUUCUUGGAUGUUGUGGUGGACAGUUUUUGCGGUGUGGGAUGUGCUCGCGGCCUAUCAGCUUGUUGGUGGGGUAAUGGCCUACCAAGGCGUCGACGGGUAGCCGGCCUGAGAGGGUGUACGGCCACAUUAGGGCUGAGAUACGGCCCAGACUCCUACGGGGGGCAGCAGUGGGGAAGAGUGCACAAUGGGCGCAAGCCUGAUGCAGCGACGCCGCGUGGGGGAUGACGGCCUUCGGGUUGUAACCUGCUUUCGCUAGGGGCGAAGCGUUUUGUGACGGUACCUGGAGAAGAAGCACCGGCUAACUACGUG